UGGAAUAUUAAACACAACUUUAUCUUAUCUUUAUGUUCCAGGGUAUUUUUUUCCUGCCACACUGGCAGUGCAUGAUAUUUCCUUGGUCUAAUUUUUAUUUCAUUUUUUGGGCCCAUUGGAAUGAUUAGUUAGGCAUCGCUCAAUGGACAAAUUUUUCCAAAGCACCAAACUGAAUUGCAAGAGAAAAUGUCUAACAUUCUUGAAUCAUUGUCUAGUACUAUGUGCAUUAACUGCUGAUUUACAGUAUAAAAACUUCCAUUCUAUAUUAUUUGCUUUUACAGGAUUAAUCUUUGUUUAAUACAGAACAGAACAAAAAAUUAAAGUACCUUGUAAAUUCUGAGUAGGAUUCUCCUCUGCUAACCUUAGCUGCCUUAAAGAUAACUUCAGUGUGUAGGCAGUGGAAAUAAAAGCACCUGUGAAAAAAUAGCCCUGCUGUCUAUCUCAGAUACAUGCCUUACAAAGGUGAGUCUUUUCUCAGGAUAUGCUGGUCCUUCUAUACUGACUUGAGAAGGAACUAUAUGUCUAGAUUGGUAAUUUUUAAAUGGUGGGAUUUGUUGGAUUCCACCAUUAUUAUCAACCUCUUUGUAACCCAUUUGUCAAAGCCUGGAGACCUUUUUUCAAAGUCCGAAAAUAAUAUCAUACCUUUAGAUAAUUGUUUCUGUGAAGUGUUAUCUGUUUUAAUAAUCUGUUGGGUGUGACAUUUGACACAAUGUAUUAUUAGUCUAAUGACUUCUAAGGAAAAUUUAAAAUGUUGUUUAUAAUAAUGUUGCUUAAAGAUGCUUGUAGGAAAGUUAGAGGUUUGAUACUUAAUGUAAUCCUGCAGUUAAUUAUUUGUUGUGAGAGAAAGGAAAUAAGGCACAGAUUAAUCCAAAACUAAAGAAUUUGGGGAGGGAAUCUUACUUAAAUUUGAUGGUGAAAAAAAUCCUCAUUAUUUUGGUGUUUGAAUGGCAGUGCACUAAUCCCAUCAGUCGAGCUACUUCUUCAAGUAGAAUUGAAUAUCUAACUUAAGGACAUGAAGACAUGAUGACUGAAGGUGACUACAGUUCUGUUGAAAGUGUCUUCACUGCCAACUGAUAUAUUUUCAAACCAUAAGUUUUCCAUUGAAAAAAUAUAAGUAAUUGUAACACGUUUAUUUUUUGACAGAAAAAAACAUUCCUCUGUCUUCUGUUUUGAGGUAUGUGAUGUGUUUCUGUGUUAGAAUUUUCUCACAUACCAGAAAAUGAGAAUUAAAAAUACUUUUUAACUAAAAAUGUUCAGAAGACAUGACAGUUUAAUUAUCUCCCACUAAAUUCUUCACUCCUCUUUUUCUUUCUUUUUAAGCAGCCUUGUUCUUUAGUGAUACAUAGUCAUGUGAUACCAACUAGAAUUCUUGUAUAUACUCCUGAAAAUAUAUGUAUGUAAUGAGCACUGCAUCUCUGCUGAGGAACAUUCAGUCUGUCCAUCACUUCUCAUCUUUCCUGUAACAAGGCAGGGAGUUAAAAAUGCUUACUUCCACAGCCUUUCUGUAGUUAUACUAAUAAGAACCAAGAGUCACAUUUCAUUUGCUGUGUCUUAUUACUUCUAUUUGCUUAUAGCUCUUAUAAUAAGUGUCCUGUUAUACUUUUCAUAUAUAUGUAUAUAUGUGUCUCAAGAACUUCAGGAAGUGAGCAUUAUUAUUACCCUGUUUUCCAUUUAGAAUAGGAUGUCCAGCUUCAGCCAGCAAUCCCACUUUAAAGCUGAUGUUAAGUCUCAGCAUUUCUAUGUCAGUUUUUAUCCUCUGUUAUAAUUCCUUCUAGGAGUGACAAAUUCUGUUCUUUCUCUUUGCUUCCUGGGUACAAUAGUACCUUGGCUGCUAGUGAGCCAGCUCAACCCCUAUUUAUCCUUUCCUGACAUGCACAAGUGACCUUUGACAUAAUGGAAACUCAACUUGGGACUAGCUCUGCUUCCAAAUGGAAAACUGCUGAUAUGACACGUUCAUACUGAAGACCUGCCUCUGCCAAGUUGUAAAGGCCCUUGGAUAUCAGGAAGUAGAUGAUGGAGGUCUGGCCAAUCUGCCACUCCUAGCCUCUUCUUUGGAGUGUUAUGCUAGAAGCUUUGUGAGCUCUUUUAAGCUGUCUUUGCCCACUGAAGUUCCUGGUCACUUAGAGGAGUGGAUUUAGACAGAACAUACCCAGGAAAUAUCCCUGUCUGGUGAACACUUUUUGCCAUGUUAGAGGUUUUCUCCUAUUUUUGGCCAUGUGAUUUCAUUUUCUUGUGUCACAGCUUCUCUCUAACCAUGCAGACAUAUUUUAAAAAGGCAGUGGUGGCCUGGGAUAAGAGAAAAAGAAGAGUUCUGUCUUUGUACUUUUACAGGUCACAAAUAUAUAAAACUCAAGGCUGAUGCUGUAAUUUAUUUUGCGACUUUCAUUGUAGGUUUUGUAUCCUCUACCUGUAUAAAACCGGUAAAAUAAAAAAAGGGAAAUUGCUUUUAUUCUUCUUAGCCUUACAGUGUCAACUGGGUAUUUCUACUAGGUGUAAAUACACUGGUUAUAUUGCCAAUCCUACAGAAGAAGCUAUGAUAAGAUAUUGCAAAUAAUUCUGCUUCCUUACUCUUAGGUGAUGUUAAUGGAAUUAACCAGUACAACAUUGAUGCAUAUUUACGAGAAUAAGUCAGUUGAAAGGAAGUGAUUGUUGGACACCCAGAACAUGUUUUACCAUAAGGAACUUGAAUUAUUUAUUAAUUUGUUUGUUUGUCAGGAAUUUUAGCAUAUCUCUCAAUGCCUUAUGUAUUGUAGAUUGUAAUGUGUUUUAGAGUAAUAUAGCAAGUCUAAAAUAGAAAAAUAUUACUAAUACAGUUCAAAGUUCUUAAGUUUUAGUAAAGUUCAUGCUGCAGCAUGGGUGGUUUAAUCUUGUUAUAGCACAAAUCUUAAAUAAUUUGGCAAGUACUUAACAUAUCAGCUGUUAAGAAAGUUUUGGGCUUUUUUAGUGCUUAAAGACUUAUAAUGAUCUGAGAUUUUGUGAACAAGUUUCUGCCUCCUGGCACACACAGUAUUACUAACUUCUAGCAGGUGUGUUUUAUUAUCAACUCUGUUCAAGGCUGAAUUGAAUUAUAGGAAACAAAUGCUACCUAGAGAAAUAGUUUUAUUAUCUCUAUAAAGCUAAUAAAUCGGGGUUCCAAAUCCUUUGGCAGAGAUAGUUUUAUGCAUAUACUUAAUCCUUUGGUGUUUUGUAUAAAUUGGCAAAGGAAUGUUGAAUCCUGCUUAUCUCUUUAGGAUGGAUUCCAUUAAAAUGACACAAUUCUGUGAUAUUAUCAAUAGCUGUUGAGAUGAAAAUACUACUGAUUCCCUUGGUUGCCAUUUCAUUUGCUGAACACUUGGAAUUUUACAAUCAUUUUAUUUAUUCAGAUAACUUAAAAUUGUAUUCAGCAAUCUUCAUUGGUCUGUCAUUGUUAAGAGAAGGAAAUUUCACCUUAUUUGAACAUAGCAUUGAUUCACAAAAUUUUUACUCCUGCUUAGUGGAAUAUAGAUCAUACCUUGUGAUGAGGACUCUCUUUUUGGUCAGAUACUUUCAUUCUGUUCUGCUGCCCGGCUCAGGUCCUUGCUCUGUGUUUUUGGAAGAUUAAAAGCUAUGCAGAUGAGUGUGAGCACCACUUCCCCUACUGCAAGAAUCCUGUUCCAUGAAACAAAACAUGUUCAGUGCUGUAGUCAGCAACCUUCUUGAACACAGCACAUCUGAAAUGACAAUACAUGAGUAAGGCCUGGACCUCCUGCCUGAGCUUACUGUUGGGCCAUGGCAGCAGCGUUUGUGGAAUUUUUUAACAGAUUGCUAACAGAAAUAAUAAUUUACUCCCACUGAGUUAGAUCUUGAUUGAACUGUCUUCAGUCUCCACAAACUGAUUUGAACAAGCCUGGUUUCUGUUUUUAAAUCAGAUAGCCUAAGAAUAAAAUUUAUUCUGUAGUACUAUUUAACUUUAAGUAUGUAGAUUCUGGUUCUCAGCUGAUGUAAGAGAAAAUAGGGCUAUUACCCCCCAUUUUUUUCAAGAACUUAUAAAAAUCUGGCCAGUAAUUUUAUGAUAUCUGGCCAGUGUUUUAAGUUUUCUUUUAGAGACUAGACUUGCAUGUUUGAACUGCUUUUUCAAAUAAAAAUGUGCAUUCCAGUCUCAUCUCUUCCCUUGAAUAGUGCAAAGGAAUGUGUCAAAGUGUUUUGUGUGUCUGUAUGUGUACAUGGUCACAUACAUAUGUGUAUCUGUGUGCAUGGAAAAAUAUUUUUAUAUAUAUACAUUAUAUUAAAAAGGAGACAAUUGUAAAACAUUUUAAAAAUCGUAUAUUCAGCUGGAUUUUUUAACUGUGUAAAACAUUUAUAUUUUGAUGUUUUAUGGUAUCUUGGAGACAAGGGUUUCCAUAGUGGUUUUCCUUCCUAAGUUUACUUGUUCUCCAAUAAAACCAUCAAGUUUCAGGUUCUUGUUCUUAUUAGAUUAGAAUCAGUGAAAGUUUCAACAAAUCAAAACUUCACUUAAGCAAAUCAUGUUUGAAGUGUCUGUGCAGUCCAAAGACUGCAGGGACAGAUGGAAUAUCUCCAGUUUUGUUCUCUGUCACUACAUUUCCAAGAAGAGUAUGUAUAUAUCUGUCAUAUCGGGGUCUAUAGCAGAUAGAUAGCUAAAGAAACCCCUUCUUCACCCCUCAAAUAGAUAAAUAAGUAAUUAAAUACUAUAAUUGCUAAGGAGCCUGCAUAUCCUCUACAUUCUGGUUUUAUUUCAUAGCAAGGGUUUUUUUAAUAAAAGGCUUUCUCCUCUCUAGUUAAUUGAGGCUAGAAUAUUUGCUACAGUCUGCAUUUAUAUAGAAUAGUUGUCUGUCAUUUUAUCUAAAAUAGAUCUGUUUGUGGCAGGAUGCAUUCUUACUACAGCUUCAGCUUGCUAAUCAACCUUGGAUAUUGCUGAGUGACACAGAAAGUGAAGGAGUGGAAGCUGACCAAGACAAAUGUUUGUGAAAUCAGUGGGAUUAUUGAAGAACAGUUUAAUUAAAACAAAAUUAUGAUCAAAACUACACCUGAAAAUUUACUUUAGUUUAUACAUAUUGAUUUUAAUUGAAGUUAUUUUUCUAGUGUCAGCAGUACAUGUAUAGAAGCGCUCUGAUAUGUGGAUACUGUAAUGCUCUGAAUCAGAGUAUUUACUGUGGUACUGUGGCCUUAGGAAAGAAGGGUAACUGUCACCUUUUAGUUUUUAUAAAGUUACUAUAAUGUUUUGUUUAGUUUAUACCCCAGUUAUUUUGGAUUACCAUUUGAUAAACUAAACUCUGCCUGACCAAAAUAAACUUUGCCUAAAGAUUUUAUGUAUUUUAACUUGUCUAAGGUUUUCUACUCCUUAUAUUUUUGUAAUCUUUACUCUUUUUUAGAUUAAUAAACAUAAAGUAUUUGCCUGCAUCUGCCAGUAUAUAUGUCCCAUUCAGGUCUCACAGAGAACUAGCUGUUCACCUGCAGAGAGAGGUCAGAAGGGGGAGUGAGUGAAAGGGUGUGGGCGUGUGUGUGAGUAGCAGAAACAGGUGCUGCUCAUGCCGCAUAGCUUUGUAUUGAAUUUAUCCACUUUGAUCUCUAAAACAAAUAAAUACUCUGUUAAAAAAUGGAACAUAACAAUAAGAAACGGCACAUGCAUGCAAAAAUAAAGCACCUAAAGGAAUUUCAUAUAUUAUGAUAAACUGUUGGUUACACGUAUGGAUUACUGAAACAAAUUUGCUGUUUAAAAUAUCCUAAUUGGUGUGUGUUGUGUGCUUGGAACUUUAGAAGAUGCUUUUUCACAGACAUCAAAUGAAGGGAUGUGGCAGUUGCAUUUACUGAUUUCAUUUACCUAUUAAUUCGGUCAAGAGUGUUCUCAAUUUUCUUUGUCUUCAGUUAUGUAUGCUUGGUUCCUGUAUCUUAGACAGAAUGAUAUAAUAAAAUUGCUUGCAACUGUUAAAAAAUACAGUAUUACAAAACAUCUGUUUGUUUAAGAAAUAAAAAUUAAUUUUCUGUCA